GACGAACGCUGGCGGCGUGCUUAAUACAUGCAAGUCGAACGGAAAGGCCCUGCUUUUGUUGGGUGCUCGAGUGGCGAACGGGUGAGUAACACGUGAGUAACCUCCCCUUGACUUUGGGAGAACUUCAGGAAACUGGGGCUAAUACCGGAUAGGAGCUCCUGCUGCAUGGGGGGGGUUGGUAAGUUUCGGCGGUGGGGGCUGGACUCGCGGCUUAUCAGCUUGAUGGUGGGGUAGUGGAUUACAAAGGCUUUGACGGGUAGCCGGCCUGGGAGGGUGACCGGCGACCUUGGGACUGAGAUACGGCCCAGAAUCCUACGGGAGGCAGCAGUGGGGAAUCUUGCACAAUGGGCGGAAGCCUGAUGCAGCAACGCCGCGUGCGGGAUGACGGCCUUCGGGUUGUAAACCGCUGUCGCCUGUGACGAAGCGUGAGUGACGGUAAUGGGUAAAGAAGCACCGGCUAACUACGUG
rnacentral:rRNA from 1 species